CUUCUUCAUGUACCAAGGCCUGUCCCAACAGAGGCCAAAGGGGUUUGUCUUUUCUGAAAACUCACCUCUGCCCCUUCUUCUGUAGCCACACUAGAGGCUGCUCCGUGGGCCAUACAAAGGUGACUCUGGCCAUAAAGAGCAGAAAGUACAAGCCUACCUGUGGGCUGGCUUCCCCAGCUUUUCUGUGUAAGCGUGGCCCUUUGCAAGGCAGACUUGGCCCUGGGAUGUGAGGUGCAGCAUCCUGGAUGGGGUGGAUGGAGAUGCUGUUCUCCUCUGGUGUCAGUUUGUGACAUGUCCCAUCAACUCUGCAAGAUCCAGCUGAGCCUUCAAUUUGAACCAGUGACCGUCUGGAGACAGAACAGGGGCAAGAACAGACUGUGCUGGGAGAGAGUGAACCUAAAGUUCAGAUUUGUUCCUUGAAGCAAAAGUAAAGGACAAACCCCCAUAGCGAGCGCCGAGCCUGUACCUCUCCUUACAGCCAGUUCAUGAGCAGCCACUGGGAGCCAAGUGGGUUUCUUCCACCAGUAUUAACUAUAUAUCUAGUUAAGUACGUUGAUGACAUUUUCUUUCUGAAAAUCAUUAUGAAGUAGUGUUCAAAGUCAGCGCAGCUCAGCAGUAAAACCUCACUCGAAUGCUUGAAGACAAUUGGUUUUGCUUUUUUUGGUACAAACAUUUUGUAAGCUUCUUUUGUUGGGCUAUGUUUAUAUUCCUCUACCUCACAGAUUGGCCCCUUGUGCCAUACAAAGCCCCUUAAAUACUUUAAGUCAUUAUCACACAUUGGCCUUCCAUAGCCAAGUAUACACAGGUGAUGUGUUUAUACUGAGGGUCGCCUCAAGAUCUCCUGAUGAUGCCAAGGGCAGGCUUGAGCCCAGCCUCCUAGGCUGCUAGAGCGGAUGGUCCCCACGCUGACCCCUGUGCAUGGACUCUGCUCUCCAGACUCUCCUCUCUGGCAAGGCGUCGCUGGCUUUGGGGCAGCUGACUGCAGGUUACGGUCCCUCAGCCUCUGCUCCACUAGUUCAUUUCAUGACCCACCGAGAGCCCAGACUGUGGACACUGUCUUACCAAGCGCUGUGCGCAUAGCCUUCCUGGGCCUCCGCUGCCAGCACUAGCCCUGCCUGAAGGACACUUUGUGAAACGUUGGCUUCAGAUGUUCGGGAACUGGCAGUGAUUCGCGGGGAUCAGCUGACAGCAGCCGACCUGGUGCCUAUCUUCAGUGGCUUCUUGAAGGAUCUGGUCAAAGACAAGAGGAGAGUGCACCUCUGCCAGCUGCCGAGGUUGGUGGUGACUGACAGCAGCCCGAACUAGGGGUUUCCAUAUGGACUAGCAGAGUUACAGCUAGUCAUCUCACAAAUAAUUGUCUUCCUGAAGAAAUCCAUCAGGCUUUUGCAGCUACGUAGGAUAUGAUUUGGCCGGUGCCGGGGGCAAACUGGAAGAUUUUCUCUUUGCUGUGAGCUUUAAUCAUUAUCCUUAAUUUGAGAGGUUGAAGUUUAGUCAUUAUGUCAUGUUCGCAGCACACUCCUGCAAAAAGAACUGAGAAAAACAAGCCUGUGCCCGGCGCGGCGACCCUGCGCCCCCUGGCGGCGGGUGCUGGGCGAGCCCCCGGCGUCCCGGGCCCUAUCUCCCAUCGCUUGGCUUAUUGCAGUGGCCGGUUGCGAUAACGGCUGCGCCCGGCGCGAUAUUGGCCGGCGGGAGCGAUAUGAAGCCGUUCGCCGCGGCCCGCUUCCUCCCCGCCCUUUUUCAUUUCCUCUGCCCGCGUGCAAAUCACACCACUCUCUCUCACCCGAGCCGAGCAGGGCCGCAGCAAGCGAGACAGAAAGAAUGAGGGGGAAACACCUAGCGAAAAACCGAAGGGAAAAAAAAGAGCGAGGGAAAAGACCUAGCGAGAAAAAGAGAGGGGGUUAAAAGACCUGCCGAGAAAGGGCGAGAGGGAAAGACCUAGCGAAAACCCGAGGGGAAAAAAGAAUGAGGGAAAAGACCUAGCGAGGAAAAGCGACGGGUAGAUGUAGCGAAAAACCGAGGGGGGAAAAGAGCGAGGAAAAAGAUCUAGCGAGGAACGGCGAGGAGGAAAGACCUAGGGAGAAAGAGCGAGGGGAAAAAAAAAACCUAACGAGGAGGAGCGAGAGGAAAAGACCUGCCGAGAAAGAGCGAGGAAAGAAAACCUAGCGAGCAGGAGCGAAGGAAAAAGACCUGCGGGAAAAGAUCAAAGCGGGAAAAAUUAGCGAGCAGGAGCGAGGGAAAAAGACCUGCCGAGAAAGAUCGAGGGAGAAAAACAAAAAAAACAAAAAACAGCGAGCAGAAGCGAGGAGGAAAAACCUGCCGAGAAAGAUCGAGAGGAAAAAAACAAAACAACACAAACCUAGCGAGCAGGAGCGAGGAGGAAAAACCUGCGGAGAAGGAGCGAGGGGAAAAGGGCGGCCGAGUCAGACGGCUAAGUGGGGAAAGCGCGCGAGGAAGUGGUGUGAAAAAAGGAUAAAGAUUGAGAAAGAGCGGGCGAAAAAGCUAGGGGAAAGCGGUCUAGAAAGAAGAACCACGGGGCAAGAGCGAUGUUGAAAAUGAAGGAAGGAGUGAGAAGAAAAAAAAAAAAAAACGGAGGAGAAAGAACAAGGGAGAAACGGCGAGAAAAAGAGCGCGGGCGCCGCCAUCCGCCGCUCGGCUCCUCGCUCCGGCUCGCCAAGGCGACCGGGCAACUGCUGCAGCCCGUAGCUGCUUUUAAGUGGUCUGGUGUAGGGCAGACUUUGUGUGUGUUUAAACCAUAACCGGACCUGGGAGCCUCAAACCCUGAACGCACGAACCCCUAUUUUACAAAGCGCUUGGGUGCACAGUACACGGCGGCUUCGGCACGCCCGCUGCUGCGCCCGCGCGCGGCCCACUUGGAAAGGAGCAAGAAUCCAUUAAAUGUGGUAGGGGUCCCCCUGCUUGUUCUUAUAGGCAACACAGCUGCUCCUGAUCUUGGAUCUGUAGACUUCAGCGACGUUAGCGGUUGCCUGAAACACGUUGCCCUGAAGUUGUGCACAAAGUUUUUCGAGUGCGCUGCAUUUCAUUCAAUCUAGCUGUGGUGAGUGAAGGGUCUGUUCCUAUGGACCAGUC
rnacentral:lncRNA from 1 species